UCAAACUUUGUUAAUAUUUCCUAUUGGUUGUCAGGGCUUUUCUGGGGAGUGUGAGCAAUCACUGCGCGCAGAAUGUGAAAUGCCCUGUUUUGAUCGUGAAGAUGCCUAAAUCAGCGGCUCCCAGUCCCAACGAAUAAUCUCUGUUUUUCUAUUUUCUUUAGGGAAAUGCUAUGGUACACCCAAUUUGCACCACAAAUACACACCUGAUGAGGCGGUGCAUUUGAAUUGACUGGACGUGGAGUUCACCAAUUCUUUCAGCCAACACUCCGCCAAUUCAAAUGCACCACCUCAUCAUGUGUGCAUUUGAAGUACAAAUUGGGUGGACCAAUAGCAUUACCCAUUUUUUUUAUCCUUUUCCUUUCUUCUGUUUUUGUUUUGUUGUCCAAAUCUUCGAGGGU
rnacentral:lncRNA from 1 species